rnacentral:rRNA from 2 species
AACUUUCAACAACGGAUCUCUUGGUUCUCGCAUC